GUGCCAGCAGCCGCGGUAAUACAGAGGUCCCAAGCGUUGUUCGGAUUCACUGGGCGUAAAGGGUGCGUAGGUGGCUACUUUAAGUUUGAUGUGAAAGCUCCGGGCUCAACCCGGAAAUGGCAUUGAAGACUAUUGAGCUAGAGGUUUGGAGGGGGGACUGGAAUGCUUGGUGUAGCAGUGAAAUGCGUAGAUAUCAAGCGGAACACCGGUGGCGAAGGCGAGUCCCUGGACAACACCUGACACUGAGGCACGAAAGCUAGGGGAGCAAACAGGAUUAGAAACCCUCGUAGUCC
rnacentral:rRNA from 1 species